rnacentral:rRNA from 1 species
NNACUAACAAGGAUUCCCUAGUAACUGCGAGUGAAGCGGGAAAAGCUCAAAUUUAAAAUCUGGUGGUCUUUGGCCGUCCGAGUUGUAUUCUGGAGAAGUGCUUYCUGCGCUGGACCGUGUAUAAGUCUCUUGGAACAGAGCGUCAUAGAGGGUGAGAAUCCCGUCUUUGACACGGACUACCAGUGCUUUGUGAUGCGCUCUCAAAGAGUCGAGUUGUUUGGGAAUGCAGCUCAAAAUGGGUGGUAAAUUCCAUCUAAAGCUAAAUAUUGGCGAGAGACCGAUAGCGAACAAGUACCGUGAGGGAAAGAUGAAAAGCACUUUGGAAAGAGAGUUAAACAGUACGUGAAAUUGCUGAAAGGGAAACGCUUGAAGUCAGUCGCGUCUGCCGGAACUCAGCCUUGCUUUUGCUUGGUGCAUUUYCCGGUUGACGGGCCAGCAUCAAUUUUGACCGUCGGAAAAGGGCUGGAGGAAUGUGGCACCCUCGGGUGUGUUAUAGCCUCUGGUCGCAUACGGCGGUUGGGAUUGAGGUUCGCAGCGCGCCGCAAGGCAGGGGUUCGCCCACUUUCGCGCUUAGGAUGCUGGCAUAAUGGCUUUAAACGACCCGUCUUGAAACACGGACCAAGGAGUCUAACUUACCUGCGAGUGUUUGGGUGGAAAACCCGAGCGCGUAAUGAAAGUGAAAGUUGGGACCUCUGUCGUGGAGGGCACCGACGCCCGGACCUGAMGUUUUCUGACGGAUCCGCGGUAGAGCAUGUAGGUUGGGACCCGAAAGAUGGUGAACUAUGCCUGAAUAGGGUGAAGCCAGAGGAAACUCUGGUGGAGGCUUGUAGCGAUUCUGACGUGCAAAUCGAUCGUCAAAUUUGGGUAUAGGGGCGAAAGACUAAUCGAACCAUNNNNNNNNNNNNNNNNNNN